AGGCGGAGGCGGAGGCAGAGCUGAAAAGGAGGGCGGAGAAGAGGGAAGGGGGGAUGCUGGCAGGAGUAGGGCGGA
rnacentral:rRNA from 1 species